GCAGGAUGCUUCUAGGGAAUGCUUCAGCAAGCAUCUCGCUUUGGCAUGAGAGGUGUUGAAAAGUACUCUCACUCUGGCUGUAGGGCUACAAUGGUGGCUGUUUGAGAGCAUCUAAUGCAUUAUCUUGCAUGGAAAGAUCUUGGGCUUUUUUAGAGGACGUGUCUCUCAUCUUCUCCAAUGUAGCCUUCUGGCCCUCCUUCAAAGAAUAUUCAGGAGGUGGAAGGGUUUCCAUAGAGAAAAUGACCAUUCCAUCCCCAAUAUCCUU
rnacentral:lncRNA from 1 species